GUAAAUAUAGUUUAAAAAAAACACUAGACUGUGAAUCUGAUAAUAGGAGUUUAUAUCUCCUUAUUUACC
rnacentral:tRNA from 2 species